CUUUAUACUCCAGCUAAGAAUUUUAUAAAAGAAAGUACAAGUACACAUGUAAAAGAAUCGAAUGAAUUAAUUCAAGAUUUACCACAGAGCAGUCAUACAAAUAGGUUAAGUGUUAGUGAUGGAAGCAAAUUAAAUGCAAAUAAAGAAAUGGAUUUAGAAAAAGACAAAAGAAGAGAUGAAAGAGAGAAAAGCAAAUCACCAGUACACCAAACUGUAAAAGG